UUAGGGUCGUGUGCAAAAAUAGUUUGGACUUACAUUUUGAUCGUACUAUGUACAAUUUUGUACACAGUCUAGUCAGCUAGCUACCUAUGCAUUAUUACAUCAUACACUUGUAAAAUUAAAGUUUCAUUUUCACUUUUGUUUCUAAGAAGUGAACUUAGAUUUUCAGAAAAUGUAGGACUAUCUUUUGUUUUUCCUCUCUUUUACUACGAUGAUUUUCCCGCUGUGAAGCUUUUCUUGUUUAAAGCUCAAUUUCUCUAUGACCACUGAAGUAAACAUCCUGAUGCAUUCUUGUCAUGUGAAUGUUGAGAGCGUGUUCAUUUUUGAAAUCUCCUUUCUGACAGACAUAUUCCACAGGAUCAGCUGAGAUGUUAUUUCACUGGAUUAUUUAAUGGAUAGGCUUAUUGGGCAUAUAGUUGGAUAUCUCUGGAUCAGCUGAGAUGUUAUUUCACUGGAUUAUUUAAUGGACAGGCUUAUUGGGCAUAUAGUUGGAUAUCUCUGUCAUCAACAUGGAAGAUAUGGUUUGUUCCUAACCAUCUAUAAUCAAUUCUCUAUGAAGUUCAGACUGUCUGCUGUUCCCUUGGAAAUACACAGUUAGUCAACCAACAUAGAAACACACAAACUUGAAGGAUAUUCUAGUGAGGGCUUAUGGAAAUGAUCUAUGUCUACUCUCAGAAUGGUGAAAGACUAUCAGAGUAUGCAAAGACUAACAGAAUAUCCUCUCUUGGAACACUGAAACAAGAAAAUCAAACAGGAGGUGGAUGGAGGAUUUAAGAAGCACAUAGAUAAAUAUGAUUUCCAACCAAUUUAAGUACGAUCAUAGACUGUGGUUUACAGGAUGACAAAGAAAGGACCCAGGAUUGUAUCUUUUACUGUCAGACACUGACUAGGGAUAAGAUGUAGCCAUUUAUCAAACUGAGAUCUAGUCAAAUCAAGUACUGAGAACAUGAUUUUCUGAUAGCAUGAAUUUAUUCUCUCCAACUUCAAAGUAUCUAUAGCUGACUUUUAUUUUUACCAACUCAUAUUGAAGACAGUUGUUAUGUAUGAGAAGUAUACAUUUAAACCUUUUAUUUUUUUCAUCUUAUUUCCAAACCCCCUAGAAAUUACAUAGAUAUUCAGAUGCUAGAUUUGAUGUAAUUAUUACUUUCCUGGAAAUGUAAAUAUAUUUUAUUUGUGUAUAUGUGUGUAUUGUGCCCUAUAAUUAUAUUUAGAAAUUGAAAUAUGAUAAAGGUCCCUUAAUAUCCCACAUCAAGAUGCAGGUGCCCAAUAAUCUGUGAUGCAAUAAUAUCUUGAAUAUUUUUUAUCAUCUCAUACACUUCAUAUGCUUACUACACAUAUCAGGUUAUAGUAAUACACAUAGUUUUAUAGGAUAAUUUGUCAAGGUCAAAGCAUGAGAUUAUUGAGAUAACUACAUUUGAAAAUAAUUUGUAACAUACAAACUUCACAUCAUUAGUAAAGAAUGAAUAGGAGAUUUUCUAUAGAUUUUUGGAUAAUUUACUCCUGAGUAAAAGUUAGUUCCUGAGAUUACUGAUAUGAGUCAUUUAAUGCAAUAACUUCAUCACUGUGUGAUAACUUAAAGACUUUAUAAAAAUUAGGUGCAAAUUCUUAGGAAAGGAUUGAAAUGUUAAUCAAAUGUACAAUGUUCAAGGGUGUUUAUAUGUCUAUUACUAUGUAAUACCUAGGGUUUCUGUAAAAAUCCUAUAUUCACUACAUAGAUAAAGACCUGUAUAAUAUAUAUAAUUUCAACUAUGAUGAAGGGAAAAAAAAAGAUCAAAAGCUCUCCUCUUCAAUUCUUUCAUAUUCUGUCAUACACAACAAUAGAUAAAUUGCAGUCAUAUAACAAACUGAGGUUUAAUCAAAUCCUAGAAUUGAUAUUGUGAUUUUCUGAUAGUAUGAGAUCUUAAAAAAAAUAAUAAUUCCCAGACUUCAAAGUAUCUAAAUGUAACUUUUAUUUUUACCACUUCAUAUUGAAGACAGUUGUUAUGCAUGAGAAGUAUACAUUUAAACCUUUUAUUUUUCAUCUUAUUUCUACAACCCCUAACAAAUUACACAGAUGUUUAAAAGCUAGCUUUGGUGUAAUUAUUACUUUCCAGGAACUGUAAAUACAUUUUGUUUGUGUAUGUGUGUGUGUCCUAUUUUGAAUUUAAUAGGUCUCA